CCUUCCUCUCUCUCUGAAUCUGAUAGCCUUACUAGGAAGCCGUUUGGAACGAGCAGCAGGGGACAUGGGGGUGGGGGGGCUGAGAUGCAGCUUAAAUCCUGCCCCACUUUUUUGGCUGACAAACGAAAUAAAAAAAAGACGACAAAGAAGGCGAGGGGAUAAGAUUUGCUUUUGCUUCCCCAGCUGCAAUCUGCUGUGCGUGUCUCUCCACGUCACCCUGACAUGAUCAACGAUGAUGCUGUGCGUCACUUGAUCCUCAGCACUGAGGUGGCACAGGAGGAAGAAAAUUGCUCUCCAUGGUUAGACUGGAAUGAACAGUGUGCACUGCACACACAACAAUACAUGGCUCAUUUCCUCAUCAGCCGGUCAAGAGAGGAGGACAAAUAACUAACGUAAACGACCUGGAGAGACUGGAUCGCUGACAUUCUUCUACAACACUAACAGCUCUGUGAUGAUUAGAAUUUUUUGGUAAGUUUGUUUGUAAGCAAGAUUACACAAAUUUCUAAAUGAACGAAUUUCCCCCGAAACCUGGUGGAAGGAUGUGGUAUGUGUCAGGAAAGAACCUAUUUAAUUUGGGUGCAGAUCCAGACAUUUUUUUUUUAAUCACUUUAACGUUGCCAGAUAGGACAACUGGUUUCUCAAGAAGUGAAACCACCGAAGAACAUGAUCUGAACUCGAGUCCUGGGUUUUUCUGGGGUCAUUUUAAGAGUUUCACCACCAUUACCAGAAAUCUGAUAUUACAGAGGGAUUAUUAAAAUGUUAUGUUUCAGAAAUAUAUUGAGUUUGCCACUAUGAUAUAUAUGGGGAAAAAAAUUAAUAGGACUUACAUAUAGGAAUCAUCGCAAUCUAAUUAUAAUCAAUGGCAAUACAAAUCUAUAUAUAGCAUACAUUGCUUAUGCAGUGUGAAGACAUGGUGAGGAGACAUAACUAUAUAUACGUUUUAAUGUUCUUUCUCAGAUUUAUAGUGUUUGUCAUUCUCUGCUCAUAAAGAAGCGUUUAAGACUUAAAGAAUUUAAAGAAAAGAGAAAUAAUAAUGUGACAUUUAUCCUGAUGAUAUAAAUAUUGACUGAAAUCCACAUUUUGAUCUUGAAAUAACACACGGCCUUAUCGCCCAGCUCUAGGAGGAGCCAGGCCAUGAUGUUGAAUAGAGAUUUGAAAUGUAAAAAAACUAAUGCUGCUCGUCUUUUUUUUUCUGCUUCACAUGAAAGUAAAGGUAAAACCUGGUGUUUUCCACACAGCUGAUGAAAUGUACGUCCCACUUGUUUGUAAUAUUCUGGGGUUAACUUUAAUAUUUGAAUUUAUCUGGGGAUUCUUCUUCUUGCACUAUUAAUCCUUUAUUUACUUUAGUUAAAGACACAUCUCUUCAGGCCUUCUUCUGGAGUUGAGAGCGUUGUUAUCCCAGCAGAUUGUUAUUUUAUUUUCUUUAGUAUUAUGCUAUAUUACGUAUUGCUGUUUUCUUGUUAUAACUUUUCCCAAGUUGUUUUAAAUGUGCUACAUAAAUAAAGUUGACAUGGACAUUUCA